UGGGGAAUCUUAGACAAUGGGGGAAACCCUGAUCUAGCCAUGCCGCGUGAGCGAUGAAGGCCUUAGGGUUGUAAAGCUCUUUCAGCUGGGAAGAUAAUGACGGUACCAGCAGAAGAAGCCCCGGCUAACUCCGUGCCAGCAGCCGCGGUAAUACGGAGGGGGCUAGCGUUGUUCGGAAUUACUGGGCGUAAAGCGCACGUAGGCGGAUUAGUCAGUCAGAGGUGAAAUCCCAGGGCUCAACCCUGGAACUGCCUUUGAUACUGCUAGUCUUGAGGUCGAGAGAGGUGAGUGGAAUUCCGAGUGUAGAGGUGAAAUUCGUAGAUAUUCGGAGGAACACCAGUGGCGAAGGCGGCUCACUGGCUCGAUACUGACGCUGAGGUGCGAAAGCGUGGGGAGCAAAACAGGAUUAGAUACCCUGGUAGUCCACGCCGUAAACGAUGAAUGCCAGUCGUCGGGUUGCAUGCAAUUCGGUGACA
rnacentral:rRNA from 1 species